rnacentral:rRNA from 1 species
UACGAAGGGGGCUAGCGUUGUUCGGAAUUACUGGGCGUAAAGGGCGCGUAGGCGGCCCUCCAAGUCAGAUGUGAAAGCCCCGGGCUUAACCUGGGGAAUAGCAUUUGAGACUGAAGGGCUUGAGUUUCGGAGAGGUGGGUGGAAUUCCCAGUGUAGGGGUGAAAUUCGUAGAUAUUGGGAAGAACACCGGUGGCGAAGGCGGCUCUCUGGACCGACACUGACGCUGAGGCGCGAAAGCUAGGGGAGCAAACAGG